CAAAAUAAGUCUGUCCUCUUUUAAGUUGAUUUAUCUCAGAUAUUUUGUACAGUGACAGAAAGCUGACCAACACAAGGCACUCCAACAGGAAAAGGAACUCUGAUCAUGAAUGCAGGAUAAAUUGGAAUGCCACUAACAUGGAAGAAAUGUCAUCCUAUGCCUGAGACUGGAGCCAUCCUUAGUAUGAAAAAUUGAGGCAGAAAAAGAGCCAUGGUUCUUAGGAAGCUACUGGAGACACAUGGAGGAAAGCUCUGGCUUUUGGCACAAAGUUGACAUGGGGGUCCUGGAUUAUAAUGGACUUUAUGCAGGAAACUGGGAGGAUGGAGUGGUGAUAGUGCCGACUUGGGUAUCAAACACAAGAGAGGAGUCAAAGAAUUGCUCAAACCCAGGCUAAGAACCCUGGCUCCACCUGGACAAGUUGCUAUGGCAAACUUGUGACCAUCUGUCUCCUUUUGUGGCCUAACCAGAGGUGCAGUGAAUAGGACAAGCUGAGAAACAGCGGCAUAAGCCAGUACACUGGGGAGGUGAGACUUCCAUUUGACUUCUGCCCUCAGGGCCUCCAGGCUUCAGAGCUAUAGCUUCCACUCCCUCCUUCAGCGCCUGUGCAGUCUCAGAGGUGAGGAUCAAGCAAGGCCCCAGGUCCUGCUCUGCUUUCACUUGAGGUCUAGGUCUAAGUCUGAGUACUAGGUCCAUUAACUAAGCUUUCAUCACAAUCCUAUGAACUGGCUCCUCCCAUAUUUCCAUUUUCAGACUUGAAUGUUUAUCUUUUGCCCUUGAAGUUUUUGAGUCCUAUCUCCAAAGUAUGAAUGGGUCCUGGAUUUUGACUCUAGCCUUCCUGUCCUGCUGACCUUGGUCAUCACAGUCUGACCAGCUGAUUCAGGAGAGAAGAAAGUGGCAACAAUGAGUAAUGUUGUUUCUUGGGUGCUCUGGGGUUUUUUAGGCACAAGUUCAUCAUGAAAUAAAGAACAUUUCAAAAGCCGAUUUAUUUGUAUUCUCUGCCCUUUCCUUUGUGAAAUAUCAUUUGGUCAGAUUCUAUUAGCUGCAAGGCCAUUUUUCCUGUCUUCAAGAAGUUUGAAAUCUAGCGGGACAAACAGAGAAGCAGAAUGGGAUGUGCAC
rnacentral:lncRNA from 1 species